ACGAAGCUGAUUCUGUUUCUAGACUCUCUUAACCAUUGUGUACUGUAUGAUGACUUUUUUUUUUUUUUAAACAAACUUUUUGUUCCAAUCUGGAAGCAAGAAAAAUCCUGUCUUCUGAGACUUUGGGGUAGUAGUUUGGCAAAUGGAGAAAUCAGACCACAUAGGCCAGCCGCACUCACUUGGGAGUGCUUGUGUGCCGACUCCUCUGCUCGUGUGGUGAAGGUGUUAUGUCACCUCGCAUGAGCAGAGCUCUACACGCGCCUGCCACGCAGCUGUAAACAGCGGGGGCUCGCCGGGCUCAGGUUUUGUAGAGUAAGCUGAUGCAGAGGCACACCGGCUUCUUUGAAGCAUUACUGCAACAUUUGCUAACAGAGAGCAAGAAUAAAGCAACAGGAACACCCCAGCAAGAUGAAUUUGUUCUGUUUAUGCUUCAGCGUGUGCUCAUGUGGCAUAUGACAAGUACAGGAGACUUUAAAGAUGAUCAGCAAAUGGAAUCCAUGAAGCUUGGCCUCUACCCUCUCUCCGUUGGGAGUGCGUGCUGCAUAAGCAACUGCAGUUUGUCUCUCUCCCCCCAAAUGACAUGUGACUCUUACAGUGAGCCAUGUCCUUGA
rnacentral:lncRNA from 1 species